GGCGAUGGCGGUGUGGAACCACGCUCAUCCAUCCCGAACUGAGUGGUGAAACGCAUUUGCGGCGACGAUAGUGGGAGGGUAGCCUCCUGUCAAAAUAGCUAGCCGCCAGGG
rnacentral:rRNA from 2 species